CUAUACUGCAAGUCGAGCGCAGGAAAUCGACGGAACCCUUCGGGGGGAAGUCGACGGAAUGAGCGGCGGACGGGUGAGUAACACGUAAAGAACCUGCCCUCAGGUCUGGGAUAACCACGAGAAAUCGGGGCUAAUACCGGAUGGGUCAUCGAACCGCAUGGUUCGAGGAUGAAAGGCGCUUCGGCGUCGCCUGGGGAUGGCUUUGCGGUGCAUUAGCUAGUUGGUGGGGUAAUGGCCCACCAAGGCGACGAUGCAUAGCCGACCUGAGAGGGUGAUCGGCCACACUGGGACUGAGACACGGCCCAGACUCCUACGGGAGGCAGCAGUAGGGAAUCUUCCACAAUGGACGAAAGUCUGAUGGAGCAACGCCGCGUGAACGAUGAAGGCCUUCGGGUCGUAAAGUUCUGUUGUAAGGGAAGAACAAGUGCCGCAGGCAAUGGCGGCACCUUGACGGUACCUUGCGAGAAAGCCACGGCUAACUACGUGCCAGCAGCCGCGGUAAUACGUAGGUGGCAAGCGUUGUCCGGAAUUAUUGGGCGUAAAGCGCGCGCAGGCGGCCUUUUAAGUCUGAUGUGAAAGCCCCCGGCUCAACCGGGGAGGGCCAUUGGAAACUGGAAGGCUUGAGUAUAGGAGAGAAGAGUGGAAUUCCACGUGUAGCGGUGAAAUGCGUAGAGAUGUGGAGGAACACCAGUGGCGAAGGCGACUCUUUGGCCUAUAACUGACGCUGAGGCGCGAAAGCGUGGGGAGCAAACAGGAUUAGAUACCCCUGGUAGUCCACGCCCGUAAAC
rnacentral:rRNA from 1 species